rnacentral:rRNA from 1 species
AAGUUAUUAAGGGCGCACGGUGGAUGCCUUGGCACUAGAAGCCGAUGAAGGACGUUACUAACGACGAUAUGCUUUGGGGAGCUGUAAGUAAGCUUUGAUCCAGAGAUUUCCGAAUGGGGAAACCCAGCAUGAGUUAUGUCAUGUUAUCGAUAUGUGAAUACAUAGCAUAUCAGAAGGCACACCCGGAGAACUGAAACAUCUUAGUACCCGGAGGAAGAGAAAGAAAAUUCGAUUCCCUUAGUAGCGGCGAGCGAAACGGGAAGAGCCCAAACCAACAAGCUUGCUUGUUGGGGUUGUAGGACACUCUAUACGGAGUUACAAAGGACGACAUUAGACGAAUCAUCUG